rnacentral:rRNA from 1 species
CCUACGGGAGGCAGCAGUGGGGAAUCUUGCGCAAUGGGCGAAAGCCUGACGCAGCCAUGCCGCGUGAAUGAUGAAGGUCUUAGGAUUGUAAAAUUCUUUCACGGGGGACGAUAAUGACGGUACCCGGAGAAGAAGCCCCGGCU